AACCCUGAUGCAGCGACGCCGCGUGAGUGAAGAAGUAUUUCGGUAUGUAAAGCUCUAUCAGCAGGGAAGAAGAUGACGGUACCUGAGUAAGAAGCCCCGGCUAACUACGUGCCAGCAGCCGCGGUAAUACGUAGGGGGCAAGCGUUAUCCGGAUUUACUGGGUGUAAAGGGAGCGCAGACGGCAGCGUAAGUCUGAAGUGAAAGCCCGCGGCUUAACCGCGGGACUGCUUUGGAAACUACGCGGCUUGAGUGUCGGAGGGGCAGGCGGAAUUCCUGGUGUAGCGGUGAAAUGCGUAGAUAUCAGGAAAAACACCGGUGGCGAAGGCGGCCUGCUGGACGACAACUGACGUUGAGGCUCGAAGGCGUGGGGAGCGAACAGGAUUAGAUACCCUGGUAGUCCACGCGGUAAACGAUGAAUACUAGGUGUCGGCGCCCAAAGGGAGUCGGUGCCGUGCAAACGCGUAAGUAUUCCACCUGGGGGAAUACGUUCGCAA
rnacentral:rRNA from 1 species